AAAAAAGAUUGCAAGACACUACAAAUAAGAUGUGCACGAUAACGAGGUUGCAUGGUUAAUUCAUAUAUUUCUUUCGGCUAUCACAUCUACACUCAUGAUGUACAAGGUAGAUCGACAAACAUACCUCUUCCUUCUGUUGGGACAUGUCUGACCAAAAAUGGCAAAUGCAUUCUAGAUGUUCUCAGUAAGCUCUUUGGUGCUAUCCGCUACUGGUUCACUUACAGAUUUUUCGCUUACAGGUUCUUCUUCUUUCUUUGGAUCACUUACAGGUUCUUCUUCUUUCUUUGGAUCA
rnacentral:misc_RNA from 1 species